AGAGGUGGCAAGCGUUGUUCGGAAUUACUGGGCGUAAAGGGCGCGUAGGCGGCCUGCUAAGUCAGACGUGAAAUCCCCCGGCUUAACCUGGGAACUGCGUUUGAAACUGGAAGGCUAGAGUGUGGCAGAGGGGGGUGGAAUUCCACGUGUAGCAGUGAAAUGCGUAGAUAUGUGGAGGAACACCGAUGGCGAAGGCAGCCCCCUGGGCUAACACUGACGCUCAUGCACGAGAGCGUGGGGAGCAAACAGGAUUAGAUACCCUGGUAGUCCACGCCCUAAACGAUGGAUACUCGACAUACGCGAUAUACUGUGUGUGUCUGAGCGAAAGCAUUAAGUAUCCCACCUGGGAAGUACGAUCGCAAGAUUG
rnacentral:rRNA from 1 species